rnacentral:lncRNA from 1 species
UUGAAUAUGUUGGCUUCCCCAUGGGAGCCCGUGGGAAAUUAUUUGAGUUGCUGACCGCACUUAAGAGAGUCAUAGCUACACCCACCAUUUACCCGCGCUUCGUAGAAGUUCUUCAGUUUGACAUUCAGAGCACUGGGCAGAAAUCACAUUGCAUCAAAACCCACCUCUGGCCUUUGCGAUGCUUUGUCUAAAUUAAACAGUCGGAUUCCCCUCGUCUGCACCAGUUCUAAGCCAGCUGCUAGGCGCCGGCUGAGACAGGGCACCGGCCCAGGGAGUCUGACCGGGGACCCUCCCCCGCACGAACUGUGGGAGGCCGUGCGCGCCGUGGGGACCCCACCAGCAGGAACUGGGGGCGGCAGCAUGGCGACGACGGCAGCCGCCACUGGGGCGCCGUCCGCGGCAAGGCAGAGGCCGAGCGGAGGGGGUGGCGGGCCACGCCUGCCGCAGCUGGGGCGAUCCACAGGAAGGGCCCGGCACGUGUCCAGAGUCGCCGCCGCGCACAUGCGUGCCCUGGUGCCCAGGCGGGCCACGCAGAGUGCACUCACCCGCACACAGCGCCUCAUCCAGCUGCGGUGCGCGCCCAGCCCAGCUUCAUGCCCCAGCCCGACGGACCCAACCCUUAGAGCCAAUCCUUAUCCCGAAGUUAUGGAUCCGGCUUGCCGACUUCCCUUACCUACGUUGUUCCAACAUGCCAGAGGCUGUUCACCUUGGAGACCUGCUGUGGAUAUGGGUAUGGCCCGGCGUGAGACCUACACCCUCUCCCCUGGAUUUUCACGAGCCAGCGAGAGCUCACCGGACGCCGCCGGAACCGCGACGCUUUCCAAGGCGCAAAUAAAAGAGAACUCUCCCCGGGGCUCCAACCGGCUUCUCCGGGAUCGGUUGCGUCACCGCACUGGGUGCCUCACGGCACCUGUUUCCGCCGGUCCGGAUUCGGGGAUCUGAACCUGACUCGCUUUCGAUUGGCUGAGGACAACAGAGGCCAUCGUCCGCCAUUUCGGAACGGCGCUCGCCUAUCGCUUAGGACCGACUGACCCAUGUUCAACUGCUGUUGACAUGGAACCCUGCUCCACUUCGGCCUUCAAAACUCUCGUUUGAAUAUUUGCUACUACCACCAAGAUCUGCACCUGCGGCGGCUCCACCCAGGCCCACGCCCCAGGCUUCGAGGCGCACUGCAGCGGCCCUCCUACUCGUCGCGGCUUAGCCCCCGCGGGCAUCGCACUGCCGGUGACGGCCAGGUAUGGGCCCGACGCUCCAGCACCAUCCAUUUUCAGGGCCAGUUGAUUCAGCAGGUGAGUUGUUACACACUCCUUAGUGGAUUCCGAUUUCCAUGGCCACCGUCCUGCUGUCUAGAUCAACCAACACCUUUUCUGGGCUCUGAUGAGCAUCAGCAUCGGGUGCCUUAACUUGGCGUUCGGUUCAUCCCACAGCACCAGUUCUGCUUACCAGAAGUGGUCCACCGAGCA